rnacentral:rRNA from 1 species
UACGUAGGGGGGCAAGCGUUGUCCGGAUUUAUUGGGCGUAAAGAGCGUGUAGGCGGCCAUACAGGUCCGUUGUGAAAACUGGAGGCUUAACCUCCAGACGUCGAUGGAAACCGUAUGGCUAGAGUCCGGAAGAGGAGAGUGGAAUUCCUGGUGUAGCGGUGAAAUGCGCAGAUAUCAGGAAGAACACCCGUGGCGAAGGCGGCUCUCUGGUACGUGACUGACGCUGAGACGCGAAAGCGUGGGGAGCAAACAGG